rnacentral:rRNA from 1 species
CACGUAGGGCGCAAGCGUUGUCCGGAAUUAUUGGGCGUAAAGAGCUCGUAGGCGGUCUGUUACGUCUGCUGUGAAAAUCCGGGGCUUAACCCUGGGCUUGCAGUGGAUACGGGUAGACUAGAGGCAGGUAGGGGAGAAUGGAAUUCCCGGUGUAGCGGUGAAAUGCGCAGAUAUCGGGAGGAACACCGGUGGCGAAGGCGGUUCU